rnacentral:rRNA from 1 species
GACGAACGCUGGCGGCGUGCUUAACACAUGCAAGUCGUACGGUAAGGCCCUUUCGGGGGUACACGAGUGGCGAACGGGUGAGUAACACGUGAGUAACCUGCCCACAACUUUGGGAUAACGCUAGGAAACUGGUGCUAAUACUGGAUAUGUGCCCCUGCUGCAUGGUGGGGGUUGGAAAGCUCCGGCGGUUGUGGGUGGACUCGCGGCCUAUCAGCUUGUUGGUGGGGUAGUGGCCUACCAAGGCGGCGACGGGUAGCUGGCCUGAGAGGGUGACCGGCCACAUUGGGACUGAGAUACGGCCCAGACGCCGACGGGAGGAAGAAGGGGGGAAGAGUGCACAAUGGGCGCAAGCCUGAUGCAGCAACGCCGCGGGCGGGAUGACGGCCUUCGGGUUGUAAACCGCGUUCAGCAGGGACGAAGCUUUUUGUGACGGUACCUGCAGAAGAAGCACCGGCUAACUACGUG